UGGGGAAUCUUGGACAAUGGGGGCAACCCUGAUCCAGCCAUGCCGCGUGAGUGAUGAAGGCCUUAGGGUCGUAAAGCUCUUUCGCCUGUGAAGAUAAUGACGGUAGCAGGUAAAGAAACCCCGGCUAACUCCGUGCCAGCAGCCGCGGUAAUACGGAGGGGGUUAGCGUUGUUCGGAAUUACUGGGCGUAAAGCGCACGUAGGCGGACCAGAAAGUUGGGGGUGAAAUCCCGGGGGCUCAACCCCGGAACUGCCUCCAAAACUAUUGGUCUAGAGUUCGAGAGAGGUGAGUGGAAUUCCAAGUGUAGAGGUGAAAUUCGUAGAUAUUUGGAGGAACACCAGUGGCGAAGGCGGCUCACUGGCUCGAUACUGACGCUGAGGUGCGAAAGUGUGGGGAGCAAACAGGAUUAGAUACCCUGGUAGUCCACGCUGUAAAACGAUGGGUACUCGGUGGUGCGGGUGUCGACCCCUGCGCUG
rnacentral:rRNA from 1 species